rnacentral:rRNA from 1 species
AGAGCGAACGCUGGCGGCGUACCUAACACAUGCAAGUCGAACGGGGAUCAUAGGGUUAGCAAUAACUCUGUGGUUCUAGUGGCGCACGGGUGAGUAACACGUGGGUAACCUGCCCUUGAGACUGGGAUACCCCCUCGAAAGGGGGGCUAAUACCGGAUACGUUCCUCGGAUCGAAAGGUCUGAGGAGGAAAGGUGGCGAAAGCUGCCGCUCUUGGAGGGGCUCGCGGCCUAUCAGCUAGUUGGCGGGGUAACGGCCCACCAAGGCUAUGACGGGUAGCUGGGUCUGAGAGGACGACCAGCCACACGGGGACUGAGACACGGCCCCCGACUCCUACGGGAGGCAGCAGUGGGGAAUUUCCGCAAUGGGCGAAAGCCUGACGGAGUGACGCCGCGUGUGGGACGAAGGCCUUCGGGUCGUAAACCACUGUCAGGUGGAAAGAUGGGUGUCCGGCGCGAUAAACCCGGCCGGCAGUUUUGACGGUACCUGCAGAGGAAGCCCCGGACUAACGUCUGUGCCAGCAGCCGC